rnacentral:rRNA from 1 species
GAUGAGCGCUAGCUACAGGCUUAACACAUGCAAGUCGCGGGGCAGCAUGGGGGUUGCUUGCAAUCCCCGAUGGCGACCGGCGCACGGGUGAGUAACGCGUAUUCAACCUGCCCUUCACCACGGGAUAACCCGGCGAAAGUCGGACUAAUACCGUAUGUGGUCCAUUGACGGCAUCCGAUUUGGACGAAAGGCUUGGCGGUGAGGGAUGGGGAUGCGUCCGAUUAGCCAGACGGCGGGGUAACGGCCCACCGUGGCUACGAUCGGUAGGGGUUCUGAGAGGAAGGUCCCCCACACUGGAACUGAGACACGGUCCAGACUCCUACGGGAGGCAGCAGUGAGGAAUAUUGGUCAAUGGGCGUAAGCCUGAACCAGCCAAGUAGCGUGCAGGAUGACGGCCCUAUGGGUUGUAAACUGCUUUUAUGCGGGGAUAAAGUGGCCCACGUGUGGGCUUUUGCAGGUACCGCAUGAAUAAGGACCGGCUAAUUCCGUG